AGAGUUUGAUUAUGGCUCAGAACGAACGCUUGCUGCAUGCUUUAUACAUGCAAGUCGAACGGAGGCCCUAGCUUGCUAGGUGUCCUUAGUGGCGCACGGGUGAGUAACACGUGGGAACAUACCUUAUAGUACGGAAUAACUGCGGGAAACUGUAGCUAAUACCGUAUACUCCAGUAAUGGGAAAGAUUUAUCGCUAUAAGAUUGGCCCGCGCAAGAUUAGCUUGUUGGUGAGGUAAAAGCUCACCAAGGCUCCGAUCUUUAGCUGGUUUGAGAGGACGAUCAGCCACACUGGGACUGAGACACGGCCCAGACUCCUACGGGAGGCAGCAGUAGGGAAUAUUGGACAAUGGGGGCAACCCUGAUCCAGCAAUGCAGCGUGAGUGACGAAGGCCUUAGGGUUGUAAAACUCUUUCAUCGGUGAGGAUAAUGACAGUAGCCGAAGAAGAAGGACCGGCUAAUUCCGUGCCAGCAGCCGCGGUAAUACGGAAGGUCCUAGCGUUGUUCGGAAUUACUGGGCGUAAAGCGCAUGUAGGCGGAACAGAAAGUUAGAAGUGAAAUCCCUGGGCUCAACCUAGGAAUUGCUUUUAAAACUUCUGUUCUGGAAUUCAGGAGAGGAAAAUGGAAUUUCCAGUGUAGAGGUGAAAUUCGUAGAUAUUGGAAGGAACACCAGUGGCGAAGGCGAUUUUCUGGACUGAUAUUGACGCUGAGAUGCGAAGGCAUGGGUAGCAAACGGGAUUAGAUACCCCGGUAGUCCAUGCAGUAAACGAUGGGUGCUAGUCGUCGGACUUUUGUUCGGUGUCGUAGCUAACGCGUUAAGCACCCCGCCUGGGGAGUACGGUCGCAAGAUUAAAACUCAAAUAAAUUGACGGGGACCCGCACAAGCAGUGGAGCAUGUGGUUUAAUUCGACGCAACGCGAAGAACCUUACCAGCGUUUGACAUGGAAAGUGCCGGUUACAGAAUGGUAACCUUCAGUUCGGCUGGCUUUCGCACAGGUGCUGCAUGGCUGUCGUCAGCUCGUGUCGUGAGAUGU
rnacentral:rRNA from 1 species